rnacentral:rRNA from 1 species
GGGUGAGGAGAGUAUCCUAAGGCCAGCGAGAGAACUGUUGUUAAGGAACUCGGCAAAAUGACCCCGUAACUUAGGGAUAAGGGGUGCCACCAUCAGGUGGCCGCAGAGAAUAGGCCCAAGCGACUGUUUACCAAAAACAUAGGUUUCUGCUAAGUCGCAAGACGAUGUAUAGGCGCUGACGCCUGCCCGGUGCUGGAAGGUUAAGGGGAUCUGUUAGAGCAAUCGAAGCAGUGAACUUAAGCCCCAGUAAACGGCGGCCGUAACUAUAACGGUCCUAAGGUAGCGAAAUUCCUUGUCGGGU